AACUGUCACUUUGGCAAUUUUGUUCCAAACUUGGAACAAUACAGAAAAGCUUAGCAUGGCCCUGCGCAAAGAUGACACACAAAUUUGUGAAGCAUUCCAUAUAUUU
ensembl:snRNA U6 U6 spliceosomal RNA